AGUGAACGCUGGCGGUAGGCCUAACACAUGCAAGUCGAACGGCAGCACAGUAAGAGCUUGCUCUUACGGGUGGCGAGUGGCGGACGGGUGAGGAAUACAUCGGAAUCUACUUUUUCGUGGGGGAUAACGUAGGGAAACUUACGCUAAUACCGCAUACGACCUACGGGUGAAAGCAGGGGAUCUUCGGACCUUGCGCGAUUGAAUGAGCCGAUGUCGGAUUAGCUAGUUGGCGGGGUAAAGGCCCACCAAGGCGACGAUCCGUAGCUGGUCUGAGAGGAUGAUCAGCCACACUGGAACUGAGACACGGUCCAGACGCCUACGGGAGGCAGAAGUGGGGAAUAUUGGACAAUGGGCGCAAGCCUGAUCCAGCCAUACCGCGUGGGUGAAGAAGGCCUUCGGGUUGUAAAGCCCUUUUGUUGGGAAAGAAAAGCAGCAGGUUAAUACCCCGCUGUUCUGACGGUACCCAAAGAAUAAGCACCGGCUAACUUCGUG
rnacentral:rRNA from 1 species